rnacentral:tRNA from 1 species
GCCGAAAUAGCUCAAAUGGGAGAGCGUUAGACUAUAGAUCAAAAAGUUCCUGGUUCGAUCCCGGGUUCCGGUA